rnacentral:rRNA from 1 species
AAACUAGGAUUAGAUACCCUAUUAUUAAGAGCUCUAUAUUGUUAGUAUAUAAUUUAUAUGAAAACAAAAAAUUAUGGCGGUAUUUUAAGCUUUUCAGAGGAAUUUGCUCUUUAAUGGAUAAAACACCUAAAUCUUACUAGAAUUUGUGGCAGUUUGUAUACCACUAUUUAAGUAAUAAUUUGUUGUUAUUACUAGAAUUUAUUCAAAAAUAAAAAAAGUUAAGUCAAGGUGCAGCAAAAAUUCUAGAAUGAAGUGAAUUACAUUACUUUAAAGUAAUUUUAAUAUUGAAAAUUAAAAUUUAGGAUUUGAAAGUAAAAUUUUAAUAGAAAGAAAAUUUGAAUUUAGCUCUAAAAUAUGUACAUAUCGCCCGUCGCUCUUUUUUAAAGAUAAGUCGUAACAUAG